ensembl:lncRNA
UAGGGAUGCAACGAUACCAAUUUUUUCAAACCGAUCCGAUACCGAUACUUGGAUCUGAGUACUUGCCGAUACCGAGUACAAAAACCAAUACUUCUACCACACACAAGUUAAACUUAACCAGUAGUAAAGAAACGACCCCAGACAACUCUUUAACACAAACGAAACGUUUACUGAACGUAAGGGCAGAGACAAAUACUGUACAACACAUCCCUUUUUUAAACUCAAAUGAUAUUCCAAUUCCUUAACCAAAUGAAAUACACUGUAUAAAUGAAAUAAUUCCCUUUCAAAUUAUAUUAAACAACCCAACUUAUGUUAUCACCUUUUGGUAAGUGACUCACUAAUAUACACUCCAAAACACGUUAUAUAAAUCCACUAAACACACAAUAUUCACACAUGGGCCCCACACACACUCACAUUCACACUUGUUGCAGGCCUGUUUGCUGCUCACACCGGACGAUGGAGAAAAAUCCUCUUCUCCCCAGUAAGAGCACAAAAGUCUGACUUACAGUUCCGUUGCUCGGUAGGUCGCCGUUCACCAGUCCCACACUAAAUCCACUCCCUGCGGACCCGAUGCUGUCUCUGCUACAGCGCGUUAGCCAGUCACUGUCCAGCUCUCCGACAGUCCUGCCUCCGUGGCGCAACCAAGCAGUCCGGGCUAGCCUUUAGCCUCGGCGGUCAUGGCUGGAAACACAGUUUUCCACGGUGGUGCGACCGUUGAAACAAAAAGUCACUUCACCCACACUCUGUUGCGAAGCUCUCACACAGUUAGCUUUCUAGUCACACACUCUUUUGUGCUAGUUAACCUCAGUAAAACUAGCCGAGUCUCUCACUUUGGUUCAGCUAACCUCGUGUAUCUCUCCAUGCCGUUCUCUUCUGUGAACUGUGAACACCUUAUGUGGCGUUCAAGUCCAUGGGAAUUAUGAGUAUCUACUACCAAAUUCCCAUCCGGGCUACAUUAGUAUCGGUUCAUGGUAUCGGUUGACUUUUACGAGUACGAGUACGCACACAUUUUACAGUAUCGGCCCCGAUACCCGAUACCAGUAUCGGGAUCGGUG